rnacentral:lncRNA from 1 species
UAUGCAAACUAAGAAUGCACGUAUAUGAUCUUCUGCAUCUUCAUGAAGCAGCUACAUAUAUAUAGCUUCUGUUCAGAACGAAAUUUUCAAGGCUUUGGUGGUUCUGCUGGUUCAGCAGGUUUCUCUUCCUCUUUAGCAGCAGUCUCAGCUUGUUUUUCUUCCACUUUUUUCUCAUCACUUGUCUCGUCUGCUUGUGGUUUUUCCUCUUCCUUUUUUUCUUCUUCAACCACUGUCUCCCUCUCUUUGACAACACUACUUGUUUCUUCUUCUGUUUUAGUUUCUACUGCAGGAGGGGCUUCAACUUCUUUUUCUUCUGUAACAAUGAAAGUGGACACCUUCUCAAACACAAAGAAAACUGAACCUGAAGCCAAGGCUGGUCCAAACUUUGAAGAUGCUUCAGAUGCCGCCUUUGAUCCAGGGAAAUC